rnacentral:lncRNA from 1 species
CAUUUGGAUAAAAAAUGUCUUAUCACCAAAAGUUGAGGACGAGUGGGGACUAACCAUGUGUAUAAAAGAUCGAGAUUUUCUAAUUGGUGAGAGUCUGUUGGAUACUGAAACUGAAUGUAUCAAAAACAGUAGGUAUAUUAUUUUCCUCAUCACUCCUGAGUUCAAAUCGUCACGUGAUUGUUUGUUUGAACUCGACAGAGCAAAAUAUGCAAAAAGUAACAAAAAAUCUAGACAAAAUUAUUGUAAUAACAAAAGAUAUCAUAGUAACUGAUAUUCCCUAUGAGUUUUCGUACAUUUGGAAUAAUGCCUAUGUUGUACAAUGACCGAAAGAGGAAGAAGAUUUAAAUGAUACAUGGAGACGAUUGAAGAUGUUGGUAACAGUUUGCCAAGUUCAAAACAA